UACGUAGGGGGCAAGCGUUGUCCGGAAUCAUUGGGCGUAAAGAGCGUGUAGGCGGCCCGAUAAGUCCGCUGUGAAAGUCCAGGGCUCAACCCUGGAAUGCCGGUGGAUACUGUCGGGCUCGAAUCCGGAAGAGGUGAGUGGAAUUCCUGGUGUAGCGGUGAAAUGCGCAGAUAUCAGGAGGAACACCGGGUGGCGAAGGCGGUUCUCUGGGCCUUACCUGACGCUGGAGGAGCGAAAGCGUGGGGAGCGAACAGG
rnacentral:rRNA from 1 species